AGAGUUUGAUCCUGGCUCAGGAUGAACGCUAGCUACAGGCUUAACACAUGCAAGUCGAGGGGCAGCAUGGUCUUAGCUUGCUAAGGCUGAUGGCGACCGGCGCACGGGUGAGUAACGCGUAUCCAACCUUCCCCAUAGUAGGGGAUAGCCCGGCGAAAGUCGGAUUAAUACCCUAUGUUCUUCGUCGAGGACAUCUGAAGUGAAGCAAAGGUUUACGCCCUAUGGGAUGGGGAUGCGUCUGAUUAGGUUGCAGGCGGGGUAACGGCCCACCUGGCCCACGAUCAGUAGGGGUUCUGAGAGGAAGGUCCCCCACAUUGGAACUGAGACACGGUCCAAACUCCUACGGGAGGCAGCAGUGAGGAAUAUUGGUCAAUGGACGAGAGUCUGAACCAGCCAAGUAGCCGUGCAGGAUGACGGCCCUAUGGGUUGUAAACUGCUUUUAUGCGGGGAUAAAGUGAGGGACGUGUCCCUUUUUGUAGGUACCGCAUGAAUAAGGACCGGCUAAUUCCGUGCCAGCAGCGGC
rnacentral:rRNA from 1 species